GAUGAACGCUGGCGGCGUGCCUAAUACAUGCAAGUCGAGCGAACAGACGAGGAGCUUGCUCCUCUGACGUUAGCGGCGGAUGGGUGAGUAACACGUGGAUAACCUACCUAUAAGACUGGGAUAACUUCGGGAAACCGGAGCUAAUACCGGAUAAUAUAUUGAGCCGCAUGGUUCAAUAGUGAAAGACGGUUUUGCUGUCACUUAUAGAUGGAUCCGCGCCGCAUUAGCUAGUUGGUAAGGUAACGGCUUACCAAGGCAACGAUGCGUAGCCGACCUGAGAGGGUGAUCGGCCACACUGGAACUGAGACACGGUCCAGACUCCUACGGGAGGCAGCAGUAGGGAAUCUUCCGCAAUGGGCGAAAGCCUGACGGAGCAACGCCGCGUGAGUGAUGAAGGUCUUCGGAUCGUAAAACUCUGUUAUUAGGGAAGAACAAAUGUGUAAGUAACUAUGCACGUCUUGACGGUACCUAAUCAGAAAGCCACGGCUAACUACGUG
rnacentral:rRNA from 1 species